rnacentral:siRNA from 1 species
ACAAGCUCACUUGGGAGGAAGUCC